GACGAACGCUGGCGGCGUGCCUAAUACAUGCCAGUAGAACGCACAGUUUAUACCGUAGCUUGCUACACCAUAGACUGUGAGUUGCGAACGGGUGAGUAACGCGUAGGUAACCUGCCUGGUAGCGGGGGAUAACUAUUGGAAACGAUAGCUAAUACCGCAUAAUAUUAAUUAUUGCAUGAUAAUUAAUUGAAAGGUGCAAUUGCACCACUACCAGAUGGACCUGCGUUGUAUUAGCUAGUAGGUGAGGUAACGGCCCACCUAGGCGACGAUACAUAGCCGACCUGAGAGGGUGAUAGGCCACACUGGGACUGAGACACGGCCCAGACUCCUACGGGAGGCAGCAGUAGGGAAUCUUCGGCAAUGGACGAAAGUCUGACCGAGCAACGCCGCGGGAGUGAAGAAGGGUUUCGGAUCGUAAAGCUCUGUUGUAAGAGAAGAACGGGUGUGAGAGUGGAAAGUUCACACUGUGACGGUAUCUUACCAGAAAGGGACGGCUAACUACGUG
rnacentral:rRNA from 1 species